rnacentral:rRNA from 1 species
UACGUAGGGGGCUAGCGUUGUCCAGAAUCAUUGGGCGUAAAGCGCGUGUAGGCGGUCCGGUAAGUCCGCUGUGAAAGUCGGGGGCUCAACCCUCGAAUGCCGGUGGAUACUGUCGGGCUAGAGUACGGAAGAGGCGAGUGGAAUUCCUGGUGUAGCGGUGAAAUGCGCAGAUAUCAGGAGGAACACCAAUUGCGAAGGCAGCUCGCUGGGACGUUACUGACGCUGAGACGCGAAAGCGUGGGGAGCAAACAGG